CCUUGACAGACCUUGCUGGGUUUUGUGCUGUGGAUCAUCUACAAAGGAUUAUGCUGCGAGUGGUGUUAAAGGCACAGCCCUAUGAUUAUGAUGAGAAAAAGCUGAGCCUAUGUUCUGCUUUGCCAGGCACUGUUUCGUGUCACUCAUGAUGGCCUCUUCCCAGGAGGAAGAGAUAUUUGUGCUCGGCUUGCCAUCCUCCUGGAACUGCUGUUUGUGGGUUUUUAUGUGUGUCCUACAUCUGAGCUGCCUGCUCUCCCUGCUGUAAAUGACCGCUGGGAUCCGGUCCCUUUGCCUGAAAGCAGAUUGAGCUUUACACCUUCUGCAGUGCUGAAGCUGAUGUGCUCCCAUCCAUCCCCUCGCCCCGUGGUACCAGGACUUGUGAUGGGCCCAUAUGAACCAACGUUUAUUGCUAAAAAGAAGAUCCAGCGGCAAUAUAGUUACCAUGUUAAAGUAUCUUCACAGUUAGAGAAGCCAAAGUCCUGAAGAAGUGCUCACUUCCAGG